CCUACGGGGGGCAGCAGUGGGGCAUAUUGCACAAUGGGGGAAACCCUGAUGCAGCGACGCCGCGUGAGUGAAGAAGUAUUUCGGUACGUAAAGCUCUAUCAGCAGGGAAGAAAAUGACGGUACCUGACUAAGAAGCCCCGGCUAACUACGUGCCAGCAGCCGCGGUAAUACGUAGGGGGCAAGCGUUAUCCGGAUUUACUGGGUGUAAAGGGAGCGUAGACGGCAGCGCAAGUCUGGAGUGAAAUGCCGGGGCUCAACCCCGGAACUGCUCUGGAAACUGUGAGGCUGGAGUGCAGGAGAGGUAAGCGGAAUUCCUAGUGUAGCGGUGAAAUGCGUAGAUAUCAGGAGGAACACCGGCGGCGAAGGCGGCUUACUGGACUGUAACUGACGCUGAGGCUCGAAGGCGUGGGGAGCAAACAGGAUUAGAUACCCUUGUAGUC
rnacentral:rRNA from 1 species